GUGCUCACUUCGGCAGCACAUAUACAAAAAUUGGAACAAUACAGAGAUUAGCAUGGCCCCUGUGCAAGGAUGACACGCAAAUUCAUGAAGAAACUAAGUUUUGU
rnacentral:snRNA from 1 species